rnacentral:lncRNA from 1 species
AUGCUCAUGUGCUGUUGGCCAAAGCAGCCUCUUGGCCACGCCCAGAGCGAAGGCGUGGGAACCGAUGGAUUUAAGGAACCACCAUGUCCGGUGCGAGAGGGCCUGGGCUUCUGGCCACUCUGCUCCCUGCAACGGGGCCCCCAGCCCCACGUCUGCGCCCAUUCCCCAGCUCACAGCUGCCUGCUCUCAGCCACGCUCGUCCGUCCCGGCCCGCGGCUGGCUGAGUCCUGGGCGCCCGAGGCCCUUCUCCGGGAGGGGGGCACCGGUGCGCUGUGGCCGGUGCUCCUGAACCCCGUAGGCCUGGGGCCAGGGCUGGACUCCACUGCAGCCCACGCGUCCACCUCCCCCUCACCAAACCACGGACCUCACGGCCAAGAUCCGGCUCUGCUCCCGCGGGCCCCACGCAGGAGCUUUCCCUGGCCAGGUCCCUCCCACAGCCCUGCUGGCUUCCAGGGGCUCCCCCUGCCCGGUGUCUGCUGGGGGGACGUCCGCCAGCCCCACCCCCGAGGAGACCCUCCCAAGCCGGGCCUCUCCCGAGCUCCUGGCCCGCAGAGACGGCUGGGUGCGGGGGCCCUGCCAGCGCUCAGUUUUGAGUCCCCUGUUGCUUGUUGGGGGGCGGCAGUGGCUGGCGGGGUCCCAGGCAGCGUCCGCCUCCUUGCUCUCACGGGGACUCGCAGACGAGGGGGCCCCCCCAGGGCCCUGCACGCGGGCGUCUGUCUGCCCGCCCCUCAUUCUCCUCCACCCCGCGCUGACAGGCGCGCGCCCACGCCGGGGAGGGUGCCUCCUGAGCACCCUCUUCCCCGCCGAGCCCCGUGUCCCUGCUCCCCGGCUCCCUCGGUCUGCAGCCGGUCCGGGAGUGGGGCCGGGAGUGGGGCCACGAGGAGCGCAGGGCGGCAGGGCCGGAGGGAGCUGAGCCUGCCGCAGCGAGUCCGGGGAGGAGGAGGAGGAGCCCUGCAGAGGGGCUGGUGGUGUCCUGCCCAGCCCGAGACGGCACACGGCACACCAGACACACACACACACACCAUACAGACACACACACAGAUACACACACACACACACCAAACAGUCCUGGGGAGGAGGAGGAGGAGCCCUGCAGAGGGGCUGGUGGUGUCCUGCCCCAGCCCGAGACGGCACACGGCACACCAGACACACACACACACACACAUAGAUACCAAACAGACACACACA